AGAGUUUGAUCCUGGCUUAGGACGAACGCUGGCGGCAUGCCUAACACAUGCAAGUCGAACGGGGGUAGCAAUACCCUAGUGGCGAACGGGUGAGUAACACAUAAGCAAUCUGCCCUUCACAGGGGGAUAACAGCGGGAAACUGCUGCUAAUACCGCAUAAGACCACGGUACCGCAUGGUACAGGGGUAAAAACGAAUCAGUGGUGAAGGAUGAGCUUAUGUCCCAUUAGCUAGUUGGUGAGAUAACAGCCCACCAAGGCGACGAUGGGUAGCCGACCUGAGAGGGUGAUCGGCCACACUGGAACUGAGACACGGUCCAGACUCCUACGGGAGGCAGCAGUGGGGAAUAUUGGGCAAUGGAGGAAAAACCUCUUACCCAGCAAUGCCGCGUGAGUGAAGAAGGUCUUCGGAUUGUAAAGCUCUUUGAUUGGGGACGAAGAAAGUGACGGUACCCAAGAACAAGCCCCGGCUAACUACGUGCCAGCCGCAGC
rnacentral:rRNA from 1 species